rnacentral:lncRNA from 1 species
GGCCCUUUCCGGUGGAGGACCCUUCCCCCUGGGUUGAUCUUGAGGAACUUAAGAGACGGUGUUUUGACUCGACUCCUUUCCCCUUUUUCCUCCCGGUACCAAAGCGGUUUUGUUUGCUGUUUAUACUCUACCCCGUGGAAAGGCGGCUAGCUGGCUAAAGGGUUUUAUGCCUGGGGGAGGAUGAGUCGCUAUUUGGUCGUGACUUGUUUCUGUUUAAAAUUAUUAUUAUUUACCAAAUGAAAAUGUUGUACUUACCAGUCCAAAGUGCGGGGCUUAUAUUGUUAGAAGACCACUUAAAAUGCUCCUGGAUUCUGACAAAUAUUGCAUGAGAAAUUUGCAAUCAGCCGUGAAGCAUGUUUCCCCUUCUGAAAGUUUAACACGUGCCGUAUCUACGGCUGGGAUCUAACACAUCCCAUUCCUACAGGGCAGAACUUGCUGAAACUCCAACCUCUGGAAAUUACUGGAACCCUGCAUUCUAGAACUUGCUGGAAACCCACCCUCUGGAAUUGGCCUGCUAGAGUGCCUGAGAAGGAUGUUCAUAGGGAAAUGUUUCAGCAGAGGAACUCUACUACAAAAACCACAAGAGGGAGGGUGCCAGGGGAAGUGGCCUGGUGCUAUUGAAACUGCAACACAGAAGCCAGCCACUGGAGAGAGCUGCACAAGCUGCAGGAACACCCUACCCAGUAAGCCGGCCAGAAGGAGGGAGCAAAACCUUUUCUCUCUGCAACAUCUUUCCAGUUUCCUCUACUGGAAAAGCUUCAUUGCCAGCUGACAAAAGGAAAAAUACUUAAAUGGAUCAGAUCCAUUUUCACAGAGCAGUCAAUAAUGGUGAAUUUGGAGAUGAUAAGCAACAAAUUGAUGAACUGGCACAACUUCCCUGCUACUUUCUUGAUUGUAAUGCCUAGAUAGGGAAUAGGAAAGUUAUUGAAAUGUAUGUGUUCCCAUGAAAUGUGUUUAUUUGUUGUUCAAGAUCAAUACUAAUAAAUGGGGACUAAUGUUCUGAAGUAUUUUGGAACAAUUAGAAUCACCACUCUUAACCCUGUGGCCAAAGUCUUAAAUGGACAGGGAGGAAAAUGUUUAUAAACUGAAGCAAAAAUUGAUCUACAUAGAAAAUAAAUCUGGAGUAUUUACUUGGUAGGUAUACUAGUUUCCUAGGGCUGCCAUAACAAGUUAUUACAAACUGGGUGGCUUAAAACAACAGAAAUUUGUUCUCUCACAGUUCUAAAGGCCAGAAAUCCAAAAUCAAGGUGUUUGCCAAAGCCAUGCUCUAGGGGAGAAUCCUUUGCUUCUUCCAGCUUCUGGUGGCUCCUGGCAUUACUUGGUUUGUGAGAGCAUAAUUCUAAUGUCCGCUUCUACCUUCAUAUGGCC